UACGGGGGGAGCAAGCGUUGUUCGGAUUUACUGGGCGUAAAGGGCGCGUAGGCGGCCAGCACAAGUCAGUUGUGAAAUCUCCGAGCUUAACUCGGAAAGGUCAACUGAUACUGUGCGGCUAGAGUGCGGAAGGGGCAACUGGAAUUCUUGGUGUAGCGGUGAAAUGCGUAGAUAUCAAGAGGGACACCUGCGGCGAAGGCGGGUUGCUGGGCCGACACUGACGCUGAGGCGCGAAAGCCAGGGGAGCGAACGGG
rnacentral:rRNA from 1 species